CUCCCAGAGAUGGGAAUCGAACCCACAGUGUUCCGCUUACCGGGCAGAUGCCAUGUCCACUAGACUACCCUGUUCCAGGGA
rnacentral:tRNA from 1 species